CACAGAAGAGGAAAUGGGAAGAAUAUUUCAUUCAGAAGACAAAUGCUAAAAAAAUAAUUUGACAACUGCACAUGGAUAUGGAAUGGAACACCCCUUAUUCCUUUGGCCCAGACAGCGUUGUUGAGCCUGGCGUCAAUGCACAUAUCUGUUGUUCCCCUUUCUUUUGUGUGAAACAACUGCAUGUGGAGAGAAGAGUCACACAUUUCGGAGGCUGAAGCCAUCCCCACUCUGAGUCAUAGCCGCCUGGCCUCACUAGGGAUCUAGACACGGGCUCCUCAGCAACAUGGAGCUCUGGGGAUUUCUGUUUUGCUGGGACUGAUGUGUGAACAUUUACAAUAACAGUCAACAUAAGAACAAUGACACAACAUAGGUAAGGAUUUAAUUUUAUUCCUUAUUUUUCAAAAAGCUUCCUUAACAUGAUGUGACAGUUACUAAUGCCCUAUUACUUUAAAUUCUGCUAAAGUAUAUGAGGACCCAUGACAUUAAGUCCAUUUAAAAACUCUUGUUCUUUUCUGGGAAGAACAAUAAUGCAAAGUAUAAUAUUGAACAAUAGUUUAAGGGUAGUGUAAAGCACAACACAGUGUAAAUGAUGAUGUAAAAAUGAUUAACAAAAAGGCAGUGGAGAAUUUCUCCUCAACUUCACAUGACCCAAAUCAUGCAUUUUUUGUUUGUUUUGAAAUUGAUGUUUCCACGUUAGUUCUGGGGGAAGUACAGCCUCUUCUUUCUGAUUCCUACUCCUAACCUCAGGGUGACAUCCACCUUAGAUACUUAAGUAUCCGCAGUUUUCAUAAAGAAAGGAUAAGUAAACUCACAUUCAAGGAUCAAUCAUGGUUAUGAUAAAGCUUAGUAUAUGUUUCCCUGAGGCAUUCUAGUGGAAAGGCACUAGUCUGAUUGCAAUGCUUCCUCUGCUGCUCAUUAUUUAUGAGAUGUGAACCCAGCAUGACAAACUUUCUGAGCCUAGUCUGUUUAAAAACUAGCAAUGAUAUUGGGGCAUCUGUGUGGCUCAGUCGGUUAAGUGUCCAACUUCGGCUUAGGUCACGAUCUCAUGGUUCCUGAUAUAAAGCCCCGUGUCUACCUCUGUACUGACAGCUCAGAGUCUGGAGCCUGCUUCAGAUUAUGUGUCUCCCUCUCUUUGCCCUCCCCUGCUUGCACUCUUUCUCUCAAAAAUAAGUAAACAUUAAAAAAAAAAAAAACCUACCAACAAUAUCACCAAUUUUACAGGAGUUUUUAGAAUAAAUGUGGGAAUGCAAGCUAGUGCAGCCACCGGAAAACAGUAUGGAGGUUCCUCAAAAACCUAAAAAUAGAACUACCCUACGACCCAGCAAUUGCACUA